UACUAACUCUGGCGGCGUGCUUAACACAUGCAAGUCGAACGGAAAGGCCCUGCUUUUGUGGGGUGCUCGAGUGGCGAACGGGUGAGUAACACGUGAGUAACCUGCCCUUGACUUUGGGAUAACUUCAGGAAACUGGGGCUAAUACCGGAUAGGAGCUCCUGCUGCAUGGUGGGGGUUGGAAAGUUUCGGCGGUUGGGGAUGGACUCGCGGCUUAUCAGCUUGUUGGUGAGGUAGUGGCUUACCAAGGCUUUGACGGGUAGCCGGCCUGAGAGGGUGACCGGCCACAUUGGUACUGAGAUACGGCCCAGACUCCUACGGGAGGCAGCAGUGGGGAAUAUUGCACAAUGGGCGGAAGCCUGAUGCAGCAACGCCGCGUGCGGGAUGACGGCCUUCGGGUUGUAAACCGCUUUCGCCUGUGACGAAGCGUGAGUGACGGUAAUGGGUAAAGAAGCACCGGCUAACUACGUG
rnacentral:rRNA from 1 species